rnacentral:tRNA from 1 species
GAGGGUAUUGCUCAGUGAGCGGUAGAGUGUAUGCAUUGCAUGGAUGAGGUCCUGGGUUCAAUCCCCAGUACCUCCA